rnacentral:lncRNA from 1 species
CCAGCGAUUUCAAAUACUUCCCUUUUGGUUCAGGUAGAAGGAUGUGUGUUGGAAUGGUGAUGGCACACAAGAUGUUCAUGUACGUCAUGGCUUCACUGUUGCAUUCCUUCAACUUGAGGAUGCCUGAAGGACAUCAAUUAGAUUUCACCCAAAAAUUUGGUAUGGUUUUGCAGAAGAAAACACCACUUCAGAUCAUACCCUCUAAGAGACUCUCCAAAAUCCAACUUUACGAUUGAUUAAUUGAUUUAUAAACCCAAUCCAGGAGCAGUCAGGAAGGCAAGAAUAAUAUAUAUAAUAUUCUCUUUUUAUAAUUACUGUCAGC